rnacentral:tRNA from 1 species
GGGCGCGUAGCUUAGUUUGGCUGGAGCACCCGGCUGAUAACCGGGAGGUCACAGGUUCAAAUCCUGUCGUGCCCNCCA